rnacentral:rRNA from 1 species
AAUACAGAGGGUGCGAGCGUUGUCCGGAAUCACUGGGCGUAAAGGGCGCGUAGGCGGCGCGGUAAGCGUGCGGUGAAAGCCCGGGGCUCAACCCCGGGUCGGCCGUGCGGACUGCCGGGCUGGAGCACUGUAGAGGCAGGUGGAAUUCCGGGUGUAGCGGUGGAAUGCGUAGAGAUCCGGAAGAACACCGGUGGCGAAGGCGGCCUGCUGGGCAGUAGCUGACGCUGAAGCGCGACAGCGUGGGGAGCAAACAG